rnacentral:piRNA from 1 species
UGGGUUACUUGAUGUGACUUUUGG